UGAGGAAUAUUGGUCAAUGGACGUAAGUCUGAACCAGCCAAGUAGCGUGCAGGAUGACGGCCCUAUGGGUUGUAAACUGCUUUUGUAUGGGGAUAAAGUCAAUCACGUGUGAUUGUUUGCAGGUACCAUACGAAUAAGGACCGGCUAAUUCCGUGCCAGCAGCCGCGGUAAUACGGAAGGUUCGGGCGUUAUCCGGAUUUAUUGGGUUUAAAGGGAGCGUAGGCUGGAGAUUAAGUGUGUUGUGAAAUGUAGACGCUCAACGUCUGACUUGCAGCGCAUACUGGUUUUCUUGAGUACGCACAACGUUGGCGGAAUUCGUCGUGUAGCGGUGAAAUGCUUAGAUAUGACGAAGAACUCCGAUUGCGAAGGCAGCUGACGGGAGCGCAACUGACGCUGAAGCUCGAAGGUGCGGGUAUCGAACAGGAUUAGAUACCCUGGUAGUCCGCACAGUAAACGAUGGAUGCCCGCUGUUGGUACCUGGUAUCAGCGGCUAAGCGAAAGCAUUAAGCAUCCCACCUGGGGAGUACGCCGGCAACGGUG
rnacentral:rRNA from 1 species